rnacentral:rRNA from 1 species
AACGAACGCUGGCGGCAGGCCUAACACAUGCAAGUCGAGCGGGCACUUCGGUGUCAGCGGCGGACGGGUGAGGAAUACAUAGAUACCUGCCUUAAAGUCUGGGAUAGCGACUGGAAACGGUCGGUAAUACUGGAUACGCCCUACGGGGGAAAGAUUUAUCGCUUUAAGAUGGUUUUUAUGUCGGAUUAGCUAGUUGGUGGGGUAAGUGCUUACCAAGGCUAUGAUCCGUAGCUGGUCUGAGAGGAUGAUCAGCCACACUGGGACUGAGACACGGCCCAGACUCCUACGGGAGGCAGCAGUGGGGAAUAUUGGACAAUGGGGGCAACCCUGAUCCAGCCAUGCCGCGUGAAUGAAGAAGGCCUUAGGGUUGUAAAGUUCUUUCGCUAGGGAAGAUAAUGACUGUACCUAGAUAAGAAGCCCCGGCUAACUCCGUGCCAGCAGCCGCAGUAA